rnacentral:rRNA from 1 species
UACGUAGGGUGCAAGCGUUGUCCGGAAUUAUUGGGCGUAAAGCGCGUGUAGGCGGCUUUGCAAGUCGGGUGUGAAAGCCCUCAGCUUAACUGAGGAAGUGCGCCCGAAACUGCAGAGCUUGAGUACCGGAGAGGAUGGCGGAAUUCCCCAAGUAGAGGUGAAAUUCGUAGAUAUGGGGAGGAACACCGGUGGCGAAGGCGGCCAUCUGGACGGAUACUGACGCUGAGACGCGAAAGCGUGGGUAGCAAACAGG